rnacentral:pre_miRNA from 1 species
GAGGUACUCCCUACGUCUAACAAAAGAUGUCUCAAGUUUGUCAAAAUUUAGAUGUAUUUAGACAUGACUUAGUGUAUAAUGGAUUCAAAUUUAGUCAAAGUUGAUGCAUCCUUUGUUGGACGGAGGGAGUAUACA